UCUUAUGAAUGAGCAAAGAAAGUGGUUUCUUUGGAUAGACUCUACUCCCAGUGAAGAUGCUGUGAA
rnacentral:pre_miRNA from 1 species